rnacentral:rRNA from 1 species
AUGAAAAAAGCACAAGAGAAGCUUGGGGAGCUGAUGGCUGAUGAUGGGCCACUAAAUAAUGCAUUCAAGGAUUGUGUUGACAACAGCCUGACUGUUGAGGAGUUUGAGCACAAGUGGUGGGUGAUGAUGGAAGCGUAUGGCUAGACCGACAACGAGCAUUUCCAAUGGCUGUGGGAGAACAGGAAGUGUUGGGUCCCGGUAUACUACAUGCAUGGUUUUUUUCCGUUCUUGCAGAGCAUGGCAAGAAGCGAGGGUUUUAACCCUGUGCUCAAGAAGUAUGUCAACCCAAACAACUCACUGGUCGAAUUUGCACAACAGUACAUGAUGACCCACAAGUAUAGGGGAUCAAUUGUAGCUCUUUUCGAUAAGUAA